GAAUCUUGGACAAUGGGCGCAAGCCUGAUCCAGCCAUGCCGCGUGAGUGAAGAAGGCCUUCGGGUUGUAAACCUCUUUCGCCGGUGAGGAUAGUGACGGUAGCCGGAGAAGAAGCCCCGGCUAACUCCGUGCCAGCAGCCGCGGUAAUACGGAGGGGGCUAGCGUUGUUCGGAAUUACUGGGCGUAAAGCGCGCGUAGGCGGCGGUGCAAGUUGGGCGUGAAAGCCCGGGGCUCAACCCCGGAGGUGCGCCCGAGACUGCAUUGCUGGAGGCCGGGAGAGGGUGGCGGAAUUCCCAGUGUAGAGGUGAAAUUCGUAGAUAUUGGGAAGAACACCGGUGGCGAAGGCGGCCACCUGGUCCGGUACUGACGCUGAGGCGCGAAAGCGUGGGGAGCAAACAGG
rnacentral:rRNA from 1 species